UACGUAGGGGGCUAGCGUUGUUCGGAAUUACUGGGCGUAAAGCGCACGUAGGCGGAUAUUUAAGUCAGGGGUGAAAUCCCGCAGCUCAACUGCGGAACUGCCUUUGAUACUGGGUAUCUCGAGUAUGGAAGAGGUGAGUGGAAUUGCGAGUGUAGAGGUGAAAUUCGUAGAUAUUCGCAGGAACACCAGUGGCGAAGGCGGCUAACUGGUCCAUUACUGACGCUAAGGUGCGAAAGCGUAGGGAGCAAACAGG
rnacentral:rRNA from 1 species